rnacentral:rRNA from 1 species
AGUGAACGCUGGCGGCGUGCCUAAUACAUGCAAGUCGAACGGAGUGGCGCACGGGCGAGUAAUGUACAGCUAAUCCACCCUACACUAGAGGACAACAGUUGGAAACGACUGCUAAUACUUUACAGUGUAGGAUGAGGCUAUAUUGUAUCAGCGAGUUGGUGAGGUAAUGGUUCACCAAGGCUAUGACGCAUAACAGGUCCGAAAGGGUGAUCAGGAUCCCUGUAACUGAGACACGGUCCAGACUACUGCGGGAUGCAGCAGUAGGGAAUAUUGCUCGAUGGGGGUAACCCUGAAGCAGCAUCGCCGCGUGGAGGAUGAAACUUUUCGGAGCGUAAGCUCCUUGUUUUAUGAGUGCGGUACGUAACGAAUAAGCGCCGGCUAACUCCGUGCCAGCAGCCGCGGUAAUUC